rnacentral:misc_RNA from 1 species
UCUCCGUUGGUGAACCAGCGGAGGGAUCAUUACAGGACUCGCAAGACUCCUUCACCCUGUGAACCUCACUACAAGCACGUUGCUUCGGCGGGUGUCCCGGCGGGGGUUUUCCCUCGCCGGGGCGCACAGCCCGCCGGCAGCCUACUAUACUCUGUCUCUUUGCGUUGGCAUCUCGAGAAAAAACAAACAAGUUAAAACUUUCAACAACGGAUCUCUUGGUUGUG